UCUGUUUGGGAAGAGGAAGAGAAAAGCAGAGGACAAGCAAAAGGAUUUAUCAUUUAUUGAGAAUUGAGGUGUUGGCACUUUCCUAUUUGUAGUAAAUGCAUUGCUAUAAUAAGGAUUUAGGCAAUAGAUUUAUUGCCAUUAAACCACUCCAAAUAAUGGGUGAGUAUUUUUCCCUAAGAAAGUAAAAGAAAAAUAAAAACACUCGGAGUUUUUAAGGUCAUUGGGUGAGAUUUGAGAAUCUUCCUGCCUUUUGAUUGAAAACAAUAUAAAACAAAGAAACCCCAUUUGUAAAAAGCAAUGCUUUUCUACUUCUUCUUCUGAUUUCAUCAGAAUCGUUAUCAGAUAUCAGAUAGAGACUCUGUUUGUAAGCUCGUGAGUUUUUAUUUAUACUUGUCUGUCUUAUCCUUUGAAAUUUCCAACAACGUUUGGAUUCCCAAAACGUUUUUAGACACAAAACUGUUGUAAUUAACAUUAUUAAACAACAAUGUUUGGUUUUUGUCUUUCGAGACCGAUAGCAAAAAGGAUCUGAAACGAGUCAGAAAAAACAGAGAUAGAAGUAGAGGAAGAGGAAGAGGAAAAGCUUUUUACAUUUUUCUCUGCAAAGAUUGAAAUUUGGAGUAACAGAAAAGGACGUGAGAUUUUGAAAGAAGCGGAUAUAGAAGACAUAAUAUGAGCCAUGUGCAAAGCAAAGAAAAUCAAAGCAAAGCAAUACCACUUUGUUCUGAUGCGACAAGCAACAAAAACAGAGCCAUAGUAUUCGAUUGGGAGUUGUUGUUUUGUGUCUGUCGACUUGUUCGUCGGUUUAGGGACACGUGUUGUCUCUUCCAAAAUUCAAAGAGAGGAAUCUUUUUAUGGUGUUGGAAUUGAUGAAUGGUUACAAAAUGAGGUUAAGGAUGACCGGAUGGCCGAGCGAUCUUGGGCGGUUGCGUUUUCAAUCGAUAGAGGUGGAGUGCGUUAGUUUUCUAGAAGUUGAAGCUCUAUUGGAGGAAUUGAAAACAAUUGAUCAAGAGUGGGCCAAUUCUAGCUUGCCUAUUUUGUGGAGUAUGAUGCUUUGGGGAUUAUUAAGCUUCUGAUUAGAAGAGAUACUGUUUUUUAUGAAAUUGUAGUCUUCUUUUAGGACAUUCUUUAUGUCGGGAAUAUUGUUAAUAUUGUAAACUUUUGUCACAAAAAUAAUGUUAACAUUGCUACUGAUAACAAA